UAAGGACCUCACUCCUGUGACAAUUGC
rnacentral:piRNA from 1 species